GGAUAAUCGCUCCCGCCCGAGUGUGGGUUGGGGGAGGAACUUCCGAACUCCAUAGGGUAGUGCGCCGUUUGAAAGGACGGAACAGUGGGCUUAACCCUCGCUGUAUGGAAAGUGCCACAGAAACAAACCGCCCGCAAGGGUAAGGGUGAAAAGGUGCGGUAAGAGCGCACCGCGCCGACGGUAACGGCGGCGGCAAAGGUAAACCCCGCACGGAGCAAGGCCAAGCCGGUCCAUAGGUUACCCGCCUUCGUGACCAAGUAGGCCGCUUAGAGUAAUGAUUAUCACGUCCGCUUAGCGGACGGACAGAAUUCGGGGUA
rnacentral:RNase_P_RNA from 1 species